UGGCAAUCCUAAAGUGGGAGGAGGUUAAGGCUACAAGUUAAAAAAUACCUAAAACAUAUUCAAGUAGACUGGAUUUGUAUGCCCAAAAAUAGGAGUCCAGAGAAGAGAGGUCUGUGAGGGAGAAAUGGGGAACAUACCACUUCUGGGGCAUCAGUGCUGCUGGAGAACUGUCUUGGGAUUUUACUUCCCCAUGGUCAGGCAACCUCACAACUCCCAUGUCUAACUACCACAGAGCUCUAAAACACAAAAACCUUUCUCCAAUUUCUAAAAUCUGAGUCCCUCUGGAACUCAAGACCCAUCACUGGCAAAAUCUAUAUCCUCAUCCAUUCCUCCGAAUGUUUCCUUUACCUUCUUGCUCUUAGAGAAAGCUGGCUGUGCCCUGAGGACACUGCUUUCUCAAGUGGUGGCUGUUUCUUUCCUCUCAUGACCCUAGUACAAAUGGAUCUGGUAGGUGUUGUUUUUGUUCUUCAUUGCCACUUUCAGAAUCUCAUGUCAUCAGAUUCUAUCACUGAGUAGCCUUCCCUUUCCCUGUCAUCCCUGACUCUUGGGCUACUUUGCCUUAGUUCUUGAAGAUUUUAGCUCCUAACUUAAUGUUCC
rnacentral:lncRNA from 10 species